AUUUAAAAAAGUUGUGCCACGUCAACAGCCACGUCAGCAGCCCCGGCCAACCAGGACACACCGCGUGGCAAGGAAACGCUGACAUGGGAUGGGCCACGUGGGCAAUCCGCGUGCGCGCGAUAGGACGGCCCAGAUCCAUUCCCACGCGCACGAACAGCCCAGAUCAAACGUGCGCACAGACGGCCCAGAUUCACGGGUACGGACGGUCCAGAUUCAAUCAGGCACGGAUGGCCCAGAUUGCAUCGCGAUGGACGACCCAAAUUUAAUCCCGAUUAAAUCGCGAUCGGACGGUCCAUAUUUAAUCUUGAUGGACGGUUGAGAUUAAAAGGCAAAGG
rnacentral:lncRNA from 1 species